rnacentral:tRNA from 2 species
GGGCCCGGAGUUAGACGGUACAACGCUGCAUUCGCAUUGCAGAGGAAGGAGUUCAAUUCUCCUCGGGUCCA